rnacentral:rRNA from 1 species
CCCUUAGAUGUUCUGGGCCGCACGCGCGCUACACUGAUGCAUUCAACGAGUCUAAAACCUGGUCUGAUAGGGCUGGGUAAUCUUUUGAAAGUGCAUCGUGAUUGGGAUAGAUGAUUGCAAUUCUUCAUCUUCAACGAGGAAUGCCUAGUAAACGCAAGUCAUCAGCUUGCAUUGAUUACGUCCCUGCCCUUUGUACACACCGCCCGUCGCACCUACCGAUUGAAUGGUUCGGUGAAGAUCUCGGACUUCGAUAUUUAUUCUUUAUUGAGUUUAUAUUGUGGGAAGUUAUCUAAACCUCAUCAUUUAGAGGAAGGUGAAGUCGUAACA